AUGGUGUCACAAACCCAGGUUUUCCUGUGCCUGCUGCUCUGGGUGUCUGGUGCCUGUGCAGAUAUUGUGAUGACCCAGUCUCCAUCCUUCUUGGCUGUGUCAGCAGGAGAGAAGGUCACCAUCAGCUGCAAGUCCAGUCAGAGUCUUUUAUACAGUGGCAAUAACUACUUGAUUUGGUACCAGCAGAAACCAGGGAAGGCUCCUAAACAAUUGAUCUUCUAUGCAUCCACUCAGGAAACUGGGGUCCCUGAUCACUUCACAGGAAGUGGAUCUGGGACAGAUUUCACUUUCACCAUCAGCAGUGUCCAGACUGAAGAUCUGGCAGAUUAUUACUGUCAGCAGCACCACAGAUUUCCUCCCACAGUGCUUCAGCCUCCAACAAAAUCCUCCCUGAGAUUCUCACCAUCUGGCUGCACCACACAGUCGUGGACCUGA